UCUCUUAAAAAAGCCAAAGAAACUUUGUUCAUUCUUUCCUUUCUUUCCAUUUCCUCUUUCUAAUUUCCGUCUCCUCCUUCCUUCCUUCUUUCCCUGCCCCCUUCCCCCUCUCCCUCCACUCUCUUGGGGGGGCUGCGGGGAAAUGCCUUACCCGCGCAGGAGUUCAUCCGCUGCAUCCAGGGGUAAACAGGGCUCGUGUACUUCCGGUCGGUGCCUUCGUCAUGGAGGGCUUUGCCCGGCACGCUGCUGCUGUCGGGUUUGUACUGCUGCUCGGGAGAAAAGUGCAGGUAGUCCCCGGGGCCCCUCUGCUUGCCACUGCCUGAGGGCGAGGCGCCACUGAGGUCCUUAUCAGAAUAGAAACACGAGGCCCCGUACUCGUAGGACGCCCGGUUGCAGGCCAGGACCGAGUUGGACUGUUGGUAGAAACAAGGUGAGGUGUACGUCUUGUCCGGGAGGCUCGACGCCCCGUACGAGGCCGGGAAGGGCCUCAGCGCGUCAUAGCCAGCCGGGUAGAGGGGCAGCUGGCCCAAGAAGGAGUCCUGGCCGCUGGGCAGGCUCCCGGGGAAAGUGGGAUUCACAAAAUAGGAACUCAUUUGCGCGCCCCUCUGCAGGACUGUGAUUUGUUGUGUAUUAGUACAUCUGGCUAUAACUAUUAGUAGUCAUCGAACUGGUUUGUUUCUGGAUGGCCGAACGCCAAAAGCGACAGCAGCAAAUCGCACCAGCUGACGCGGCGGCGGCCAAUGGGAGCGAGCGCUGGAGCCCGCUCCCCGGGGACCGCGGCGACCGAGGCAGCAAAGUUACAAACAGCCCCCAGCCCGCCCGCCCGCCGCCCGCCCGGCAGAUUAAUGGGCGCGCACAGCCAGCCGGCCCGGCUCUCUUUCCGAACGCCAGCGGCGGGCACGGCCCGGGCAGGGGCGUGCGAAUCAGGCCGGGGUAGGGGCACUAGAGUCCGGGCCGCCGCAAAGGCCCCGCCAGGCCCGCUCCCUCCUCCUCCCCUUCUUGCCUUUUCGGAUUUUGCUGGUUUUUCUUUCCAAACAGGAAACCUGACAGCCCCGCGCCGGGAGGGGCGGUGACCACGACGGCUUAGCUCCCGGCCGGCUUGCCCGCCCCGCAGGGCUCUGAGCGUGCCCCUCCCUCUGCACUCCCCCGCCCGUGGGUGCGGGUUCCGGGACUGAAGAAGGGGGCCUGAGAAACCAGGCCUUCACGCCCAGCUCCUCACUCCUGCGUCUUAGGAAUCCGUGCAUCCCUUCCCUCUUUCCUUCCCACUCCCACCAAGGGCCUGGGCCUCGCUACCGCCUGGAGCCGAAGGCUCACCUCGAGCUGACCAGAUCGCGGCUAAACGUCUUCCCCUGGCAGCCCCAUCCGCCCACAUACAACACGUCUCCUUUGAGUCCAGACGGGCUCCCCUCCAAUGGCCAACGACCGCCUGGCCUCAAAGCACCCCACAAGCUGUGCGUCCCCGUACCACCUUUGAACCCAGGAAUCCAGAGGCCAGAAACCACUGGUUUCAACAAGAAAGGGACCUACAAGGGAGUGGCCUGGAGACUGAGCUUCGAAGCAAAACGGGGGAACCCGCUCCCCUCACCCAGCCCUUGGGACUCGUCCUCUCAACACCCGAAGUGCUCAGAGCUGAGACAGAUCCAGAUGUGGAAUAUCUGUCCUCUUUCUGGAGGCACGGCAUCCCAAGGUCCCUGCCGAGCCAGGCAUAGAGGGCAGCUGGGACGUCCCAAAGGCUGUGGGGUAAUUGAUGUGCUUGGUUUCUGGGGUGCCCGACAGCCCGCACUUUCCUGGGGUGUACCCUCUCCCCUGCCUUUCCUGGGACUGCUGGGGGCCUGCCGGUUGCAGUUGCCCCAGUGCCGGGAACAGUUGCCUCACGGGCUCCAGGAAUCCUCUGCAUUGCUUUUGCCGUUGUCACAGGCCUGGCCUUUCCCAGACAGGAGGUGAAAAGUGUGUCCCUGGCUGCCCUUGCUUGAUAGGUGUGCCUUGGAGAUAGUUGACUUUUACAGCACAUGGAUCAAUCUCAUUUUGUAAAACGUGAUAUCUUUCCAAUGGCAUUUUUACAACUGUAUUUGUUGGGCUUGUAAAACCCUUGAAUUAGCUUUAAAAUCCUCAAUUCUGUGGAGGCUGAAGAAAGACUAUUUAUACAAUUUGGUUGAAUUUCCGGAGGAUGUUUCUAAGAUCUGUAAAACUCUGAUGAAUGCAGGCUGAUGGGGUUCAGGACUUGGGGGUGGCAAUGCCCUCCUGGAAUCUGACAACGACUUCCUUAAUCUCCUCCUUGCUUUUUGAUUUUUUUUUGCCCCUGCCCUCACUUCCCUCAAAGGGAGAAAACUGGGAAAGGACUGGGCUAAGGGUGGCCUCCACAGAACCUAGCAAGCACCCUAGAAAGUGGCUGUUGCCCACGCGAUGGGGUCUACACCCAGAAGCCUUCUCCCUGUGCCCCAAUCAAUCCACGCUGGGAAAGUUUCUCCUUUGCAUAUGUAAAAAGGGCCUGGCAGGAGAAGAGAGAAUGUAACAUUUCCCUGGAAUUUCUUCAGGGAAUGGACCCGAUAGGUGAAAAUGAAAACUCAAGUAAAAAAUUUUAAAGGGAACUAUUUUUUUUAAGGCUAUGUCCAAAGAAAAUCAUGUUUGAGUUAUUGUUUCCUACACAAGACCAUCAGAUGACAGUGACGUCAAGCAAAUUAUUAUUAUAUAAGACAAAAAUAACUGUUGGGAGAUGUUGAGAAAUGUUUACAUUUAUAAUUUCUGCUUCAUACCUCCAGGUCUCACACAGCAUUGGGAGUGAUGGCAGUUGACUACAUAUACUACUAUUGUUAUUAUUUGUUAUGGUUUGACUUAGAUUCUUGAUCUAAUAAUUACCCCCCAGACAAUGACAGAAUUUGAUUUCUCAGCUAAGAGCCAAAAACCAUUGUGUUUCUAGCUUCUAUAGGCAGUGAGACAGAAAAAAAUAAAUUAAAUUGAAAUCUCCAGGUGUUAGCCAAGGCUGGUACAUAUCAGGUUGGCAACGGCCCAAUUUAUUUCUCCAACCAGCUUUAGGUGCAUAUAUAGAGAGAGAGAGAGAGAGAGAGAGAGAGAGAGAGAGAGGCACACACACACACUCAGGCAAGAAUAGGAGCCCCAGACGCUGGAGGGAGCCUCUCCUGGGAUAGUGAGAAUGGCUAUCAGGACUCUCUCUUCUAGGUCAAAGCCACAGAGAAGGUCUACUUACCUUUCAGCUGCUCUUCAAGGGGGACUGGAUGGUGAGCAGGGCCCCACAGUCCGCCCUUUCUCUGGGCUGCCCACUCGACCUCCGCCAGCUUGGAGGGCGGCCCGCCGGUGUGUGGGGUGGACCUUGAGGGCCACCCGGGCCGCCUGGAUCUGUAGCCCAGGCCAGAGCCCAUAGCAUACAGGUGCGGCCUCUGCCUGUCAGAGGCCCUCGCCUGACGCCAAAGCCCGCCUUCCUUGCCAUAGCCAAUCCUCCUCAGGGCCAGCCAGGCCUGCAGGCCUCGGGGCCAGGAAUGGUCUCUCCGAUUUGCAAAUCCCAAAGCGGGCGCCUUCCCCGAACCAGCGUGCGCCCCGGGGACGCCUUGGGACGCGCAGUUUGGACAGAAGCAGCCAUAACGUGCCAGGCCGCCUGUGCAACCAGUCUCCAUGGCGCUGGGGGUAGGGGGAGGACCCGAGUCUAGUCGGGCUUCCAGCUCCUAUCAGGGGUGGCCAAGGCGGGGGAGGUUCCCGACAGGCCCUGGGAGGCCGCCCCUCAGGUCCUCCCUUGCCCCCCUCUGCUCGGCCUGCUUGGGAAUCUCUGAGGGGCCCGCGCAGCAGUCGCGCCAGGCUGCACGACGCGGGGCUGCGGCUGGCGUCGGUCCCGGCGACGGCCACAGCGUGGCAGCAGCGAGCGCCCAGCGCGGUCGCAAUAAAUAAUCUGCCCGCGGCAGCCGCAGUCAGGCAGCCCGCGGCCCUGCGACGCAAACGCGCAGCUUUAUCCUCCCUGAGUGCACCCACAGCGCCGGUGGACGUCCCAAACAUCUACAGCCCCUUCUUAAUUUUCUAAUGCACACCAAGGUAUUAUCUUAAGGUGGAAAAACAACAACAACGACCAGAACCACAGAACAAACAAAAAGAACUCGAGCCCAGAACCUCAGGAUCCUUUCUGGUCGCAGUCCCAGGAAGCUCCCGGGGCAAAUCUGGCCGACGCGCACCCAGGCCAAGCAACGGUCUGUGCCACCGCUCCACAUAAAGUCAGUGCCCACGGUACCCUCCGUGCCUCCCGGGCGGCUUCACAGUCCCCUCCCGGCUCGCGGAAAGUGGGGCGCGCGGUCGGCGGCCCGCUGCGCCGAUGUGGGGGUGGUGGGGUCCCCCUAUCGCCCAGACGCGGUUUGCGUCCUUCUUUCAACCUUAGCUGCGGGCCCCUGCCACUCUCAAUAACACCAGCACAUUCUCUGCACCGAAACUUCCCGCCAAGCAACACCCAGCCAAUUAACCCCAUCCUCUCCUCCAACACAGAGUUCCACCCACGCACCUAGUCCCUCUCCCCGCGCUUCAGACACAUCUGUCAUCGGAAAACCGCGUGAAAGGAAGCAGGCAAUCAGCAGAAGAACCUGGCCGAAUUAGUAAGUUUUUGUUUGUUUGUUUUUUUUCCCCCUCAUUCUACCUUUCUCUCCAGAAACCGAGUCCCUCAGAAUAGAAGGUGCUGUGUUGACACUAAUAAAAAAGCAGGUCGAUUAAUUCACUUUGCCCUCACCUCUUCCCACCUCCCCAGGUCGGGAACUGUCUUCAAUUGUUGGGAAAUUCAACCGAGCCAACUGGGUCAUGAAUGAAAAAAAAAAAAAAAUCCAAACCCGGGAGAUUGGCAAGGAACGCGGAGGGCAGGGCCACUUCUUUUUGGGCUCGGCAAGGUCGCUGGGGAAGAGGGGAGAGACCUCAGUGCUCCUGCCCCAUGCCAGGGCGCUGUGCCACUGAAAGGAGGCUGGCAUUCACUGCCAUGGUGAGCAAGAGAGAGGAGAGAGGGAGAGUGUGUGUGUGUGUGCGCGCGCGCGCGCACGUGUGAAGGGGGGCAAGUGUGAACGGUGAGUGUGGGCGAGGGUGAGUAUGCCCCUCUUCAAAGCCGCCCCAGUGCCCUCUCCCACCGCCGCCGGCGCCGGCUGCCAUCUCACCACCUUUGCUCCUGUCUCCCCACAUGUCUCACCUUCAGAUGGCGGCUCCCAGAAGCUCCUGCCCCUCUGACAGCUGUCGCUUGGGCAGCCGGGGAGACGAAUUGUCCUCCUUCCUGGUGCCAGAGGACGCAGGAAAUUAGCCAGGUUGCGAGUUGCGAAGCGGCCGCCGCGGCGCCGGGAACUGGACGCGCCCCACCUCCAGCGGGAGCGGCCGGGCCGGGCCGGGCCGGGGCCUCGUCUCGCUCGCCAUCGCCGGACAAAGCGCAGCCAAGCCCGGCUGGAAGGCAGAGCUCCGAAGCAGGCAGGACGGAGCGGAGCAAAAGAAUGCGGCUCUAUUCUCGCAAGGGAAAUUAUAAAAAAGUUCAUGUUCACGGUUCCCAUCCACAUGACCGACAGCGGCCAAUGGAAGGGCCGAACAACUCAUAAAGUUGUAUUGCAAAGUUGUAAAUUUUCAUAAACAACAACGGAUUUAUGACCCUUUCCCCAUCACUAAGAGGAGGCAGCUCUUACACCGGCGCCAUCUUACCACCGAGGCUGCCCCGACUUGGGGACGCAGGUUUUACAAACCCAGUUGGGCCGGGUUUUAUUAAAAGAGCGAGAAGAAGCGGGCCCAACCUAGGCAGGAGGCUGGAGUCGAGGUCUUCGCCCGCCGAGCUCAGGCUAUUCUGCGCUGUCCCCAUCGCCCUUCGCCCCUUACGCAGACCCUCAUCCUUCCCCGCACCCGGACGCCCCCGCCAAGGCUCCGCAGCCAGGGGGUCUGCGGUCCCUGCCCCUUCCUCUACCCCUCAGUUGCAGUGCUGUGCCCAGGCGCCCUUGCUUUGCCUGAAUGCAGGGUGGGAGGGGGGCUGCGUCAAAGGGCCUGAAUCCCACCUCCUAGCAUGGGGCUGGGUUCAUGGAAAAUUCAGGAUCAUUGGCAGGGUAAUACCCCUUCCCAAGCCCACCCCACAGCAGUAGGGGAAAGGGUGGAUUUUGGAUUUGCUCACGGAAUUUAUGGGUUUUUAGAGAGAUUCAUAGGCUAUAAUGUAUCUACCGAAGAUUCCGUUUUCUAGAGAUCCGGGAGAUGUUUGUGCACACACGCAAAACCAAGACAAAAAUUUCCAGAGAAAUGCACAUGUACAAUUAUAGACACACAGAAACACACACACUCAAUUAUGGACACAGAAAUACAUAAAAUUAUGGAUUCCUGUAGUAAUACACACAUACAUAAAAAUGCACAUACAAAAGAGGUACACACGCACCUAUACAAAUCCACACAAAAAGGGACCUGCCACACAUAAACACCAAACCAUGGACACUCAACACCUGGACGUUAUUCAUCCUUCCAUGUUUGCUUCCCCAAGACCCCUUUGGGCAUGCAGACAUACCCAGGGCUUGCUCUCCAGCCAUGGUCACCUCUCUUUCCCAGGCCCCCCUAGAUAAAGCAGUCCAUGUUUCUUUGUCACCAAGCAUCUUUAUUUUUCUGUUACAUAAAACACGGUUAGCUGGGCAAGACAGGAAGCAUGCCUUCCCAUUCCUGGAACCCCAAGCUAAAGCCUAAAGGGACAAGGGGGGACGCAGGACAACACAAGAGAUGAAGGGCAUUGAGAAGGGCAUUAGCCCUCCCCACCAGCUAUAAAGUUAGCUCAAGACAACACACCAUGCUACAAAGUCACCCCAUUAACACAUCCUUCCCAAGUCAAGACAUUGCCUUACAAAUGACCUCCAAGACUAUAUAAAUGACAAAAAAAAAAUCUUGUUCAAAUAUACAAUAUUUGCUAUUGUAGGAAAAGUCAGGGUGUACAUAUUCAACAUGGCUGGACAGUAGGACAUGGGGCCAGGGGAGGUGCAGGAGGCUGGGAGCAUCUCUGCAGUCCUACUAAGCAAAGCUAACCCAGAGGUCUGCAGCUAGCUUGGGAGUGCUCCCCUCCAGAAGUGGGAGUAAAGGGCCUGAACUUGGGGUGCCCAGACCAGAGAUGGAGGGAUUCUAGGUUGCAGCACUUAGAAUGCUUUGGAAUAAAUAUAUUAUUUUUCAAUUUAAAUAGAAGCCAAUACCCUGGUCCCCGGACCCCAGCGUCUUCUCAGUGCAGCCUCAGGGACCCCAAAGGCUGCUGGGCAGAAGCAAGAGGGGCCUGGCCGGGGAAGGGGCCGGCACUAGGUAGCAGGCGAGCCAGUGAGCACAAAAUAGGUAGUUUGGGGCGAGUAGGUAGUACUGAGAAAAUCAGGUCCUUGUCGGUAUGGGGGAGGUGCUGGGUGUCUGCCAGUGUUGGGACGCGUCUGGGCUUCCUGGGAGUGGAGGCCUACUGGGGACUGGGCCCAUAGGUAGUUUGGGGUUGCCUCUGGCCGAGGCCUGUGCUAGGUAGUAUUUUAGCCGUGCCAGUGCAGAACUGGGCGGCCGGGGUAGGGAGAGUGUCUGCUGGGAGUCCUUGGGGCAGAGGGAUCCCCAAGGGGACCCAGUCUAGGCGGCUGCUUAGUCCAGAAAAGGUGGGAGCUGGGAUAGGUAAUGGGGUAGAUGGGUGCAGGUUGGGGAUUGUUGUUUUUGUUUUUGUUUUUGUUUUUCACGUUUUCUUUUUAUUUUUUCCACUUUUGUAAAUAAAUUCAGUGAGUCUCUAAAGACGCUUUCCCGACUGUCUGGUGCAGCCAGGGCCCCUACUCGGCCCCUCAUUCCUCUUCCUCGUCGUCUUCCUCUUCGUCGUCUUCGUCCUCAUCGUCGGCCUUGUCCGUGGCGGCGGCGGUGGCGGCGGCGGCGGCGGCGGCGGCGGGCACUGCGCCCUCGGGGGCUGCGGCGGCCGGACCCUCAUCUUUAUGCUCUUUCUUCCACUUCAUGCGGCGGUUCUGGAACCAGAUCUUGAUCUGGCGCUCGGUGAGGCAGAGCGCAUGGGCGAUCUCGAUGCGGCGGCGCCGCGUCAGGUAGCGGUUGAAGUGGAACUCCUUCUCCAGCUCCAGCGUCUGGUAGCGCGUGUAGGUCUGGCGGCCCCGCUUCCUGUCGGGCCCUGGAAGCAGACAUGUGGACACACGGACACACGGACAGUUUAGCCAACACAGACACAAGACAGUGCAUUAGCCAGACCGCUAUGCCAGAGCCUGCACCUUUCUCCCAGCGCUAGCCCGGGCGCGCGUCCCCCUCCGCCCGCGCCCCGGAACGGAGCUGGGGGAGGAGCGGGAGUGUUAGCGGAAGACCCCAACUGCGGUGCCAGACGCGCAGGCAGCUCUGUGAGGAAGCAAGGCGCAGAAUCCCAACUUUACAACCGCCCUUUCCAGCCGGCUAGGCUUCCACAAUGUCCUGCUUCCCCCUGACAAAGGGAAAUUGUAAAUAUAGAGUGUGGGCAAGUGGGAGACGCUGCGCUUUUGCCAUUCAAAGGAGAGCUGGACCGCUUCCCCCCCCCGCCUCUUGCUAGGCAAGUGGGUGACCAUCGGGCGAUCCGCUCUCCAGGGGCGCCUUUCCUCCCUAGAAGACCGCGCCCCCCAUCCCCGGAACUUCCUAGGGCACUCCGACCCCCUGUCUCCGCUCUGGUUCCCCACCCCUCCUUUAAAUGGCCCCUGGCACUGGGGCGUUAGAGGGGCCCAGAUGAAGGGUUUGGCUCUUCCUCUUUUGAGAAAGAAAAGCCAGGCUGAAAGGAAAAGGAGGAGGGAGGGAGAGAAGAAAGGGAGAGAGAAAGAGAGAAAGAGAGAAUAGCGAGCAAAAUGUUAAAAUUCCAAGGCAAAUGGAGUUAAAUAAAUUUACGAGGAUCGAACCC
rnacentral:lncRNA from 1 species